ensembl:lncRNA
GGAAAACAGUACUAGAUGUGUUGAACUGAUGUAUGAGCAUAUUGUGAAUGAGUUCUGGGAUGAGCACAGCCAAGUCUUUAUGAUUAGAGCAUGCAGUUCUUAGGUACACGUUUUAUAGUAUCCAGGUGACAUUAUCCAGUGUAGAAAGGUCGAGUCUUGGUCAUAAGGUGCUUGUUUUUUUUUGGAAGUGAAGAUCUUCCAACAAACAUAGGGUACGGUGACCAUGUCCACAUGUGACCAUCUACAGCAGCAGAAGGAGAUGUAAAGUGAGAGGUGUUGCUUCUUUGAAAAAAAAAAGGCCAGCACAAGCGAGGCAUUGUGGGCCAGAGGAGAGACAGCCGCUAUCCCCACAUCUCUCUGUCCCUCCCUUCACCGCCUGCCACAGCUGUGCAUGAACAAGAUCAGGGCCAGAGGACAACAUAUCAGUGUGGAGACUGUCGAGGGCUCAUCAGAGGUCCCCCUUGUGCCACCAAAACAGCUCUGACCUUUCGAGUCAUGGACUCCACAAGACGUCUGAAGCCCCAGCCUCUCUCUCUUUCUCUCUCUCUCUCUCUCUGUCUCUCUCUGUCUCUUUCUGUCUCUCUCUUCUCAGGCUGGAAU